UGUUUGAUGUUCUAACGUGGACCCGUGAUCCGGGUUGCGGACAGUGUCUGGUGGGUAGUUUGACUGGGGCGGUCUCCUCCUAAAGAGUAACGGAGGAGCACGAAGGUUGGCUAAUCCUGGUCGGACAUCAGGAGGUUAGUGCAAUGGCAUAAGCCAGCUUGACUGCGAGCGUGACGGCGCGAGCAGGUGCGAAAGCAGGUCAUAGUGAUCCGGUGGUUCUGAAUGGAAGGGCCAUCGCUCAACGGAUAAAAGGUACUCCGGGGAUAACAGGCUGAUACCGCCCAAGAGUUCAUAUCGACGGCGGUGUUUGGCACCUCGAUGUCGGCUCAUCACAUCCUGGGGCUGAAGUAGGUCCCAAGGGUAUGGCUGUUCGCCAUUUAAAGUGGUACGCGAGCUGGGUUUAGAACGUCGUGAGACAGUUCGGUCCCUAUCUGCCGUGGGCGCUGGAGAACUGAGGGGGGCUGCUCCUAGUACGAGAGGACCGGAGUGGACGCAUCACUGGUGUUCGGGUUGUCAUGCCAAUGGCACUGCCCGGUAGCUAAAUGCGGAAGAGAUAAGUGCUGAAAGCAUCUAAGCACGAAACUUGCCCCGAGAUGAGUUCUCCCUGACCCUUUAAGGGUCCUGAAGGAACGUUGAAGACGACG
rnacentral:rRNA from 1 species